rnacentral:lncRNA from 1 species
UUUGUUGGUCCUCCUAAUGACAACAUGGUCCCUCUUUCCCAAUCUUCUGAUUUAGCUACUUCUAAUGUUGAUAUCGUAGAAUUAAAUAGCCACUGCAACUUGAUGUUUUUGUUUUUCUUUUUUGUUAAAUUUUGUACAAGGUGUUGGUAGUACAAUGCGGGUAAUUCCAUAUUAGUUUGAGAAAAAAUUAAGAGUAAAA